GACACUCGCCUUCCUGGCUCGCCCCUCCUUCUUCCCUCGGUAUCUGCGGAGAAGCCUAGGCGAGACGAGGGCUGGCAGGGAGUGCAGCCGAGGUCCGCCGGGGCCCGGGAAGGAGGGCUGGCUGAGGCCUGCUAUCUCCUGACUCCGGGCUGGGGGGCUUUUGUGGAGGGGUGGGAGCGGCGGCGUUGUUUCGCCUUGUUACGGGUUAUCUCACGUAGUUAUCAGCGUCUACUGAACAUACUCGCACUUGGAGCCUGGAGCGCCGGCUGUGCACGGACCCGGCUGGGGACGCAACUGCGUACGUGUGUCUCCACCGUGUGGGCCUUUGCUUUUGUUCAGCUCCUCCCUUGCGCCACCACUCCGUCGGCCAACUGUCAGGCACUCCAGUGCUCCCUCCUGGAAAAGCCCUGGCACAGCACCUUUGUCGGCCCUCUUCCCCAUCAGCCCCAGGAGCAUCUGUCUGGCAGUAGACGCUGUCCCGCGGCUUCCUCGGGUGCCUCCAGAUACUACAGGACAGGCAGGCUAACCGCAUCAGCACAGCUCCACGGGAAAAGCCUGAACAAACGCGAAUCUGGUCAGGUUGUUCCUCAACCCAUUCUACAACGGGGAAUCCAGUCGUGAGAGUGCCAGGACCAACCACAUGUUCUGAGCCAAUUUCAGGAAGCUCAGCUUUCCUCUUUGGCAUGUAAAAAGCCAAACCCCAAACACCCUGGAUUCAAUUUCUAGUAAUAGCCGCUCAUCCCAGGGGUUUGGCAAUGUUUUUAAAUGCUUUCUGUUAACAAUUGUGGGCUCUGGUUAAGAGAUGGUGUGUAUCCACCUGCGGUGUGAGAUUUGUACAGUGGUUCCUCCCUCCUGUGAUCAGGCCCUUUGCACUCUGCCUGCACAAGCAGAGCAGCUGUUUUCAUUGCAACCUCUUGAAGGAAAUUCAAAAAGGGGGAAAGACCCAGAAGAAUAAGACAACUUUGGGUUGUGUUUCCAUGGCAGCUUCUGGCUAUUCAAGGGUCACAAGUAUUUUUGAGGAACCAAAGGAGGUAUUUUCUAUUGGUAGUAGUCCGUACCCUGGUGCCCAGUCAGAGCCAAUUGUGAAUUGGUCACUAGAAACCAGCAUAUUGCUAAGAAAACUGAUAAUGUAAGACGUUCUGGACUUUGCAGUGACCUCAGCUUCUUGGAUCAGGCCAGGUCCUUAUGGGUGAGAAUCAUGGGUGGAAAGGAGGGAGAUAGGGAGAGGAAGGAGAGGUAGGAGAAGCUUAUGAAUAGGAAUGAGAGAGAAAAGAAAUAGAAAGCAAACAAAUCACACUCGGAGUGCUGCUUUCCUUUCCCACAUCUGUACCUUUCACAAUCUUCAGCGGUUUCCAUGGAGAUGAAUUGGCUGACUUUAUGGCAAGAUGUAGCAGGCAGUGCCUAUCCUCAGAAACCAGUUCAGUACCCCCAUCUCUAACACAUGCUCUCCUGGGGCCUCAACUGCUUUACCUGGGCCAUGUUCCCUUUUCCUGCUCUAAAAUCCUGUAACUAAAAAGAAAUGAGCAUAGUUUUCAAUAGCCCAUAUCUCCUUGUUCCUCCAAGAAAAUAGUUAUUGCUUCCAUUGCUCUUAUAAAUAUGGACAUGCUUCCUGUCUUCUCUCCUUCUCUGCCCUCCUCCCUUCUGUGCCUCCUUUUAUCCUUCCUAAUUAUGAUUUAUUUCCUGUCUCUGACAAAGCACAUUGCUCUAAUGUAUGGCAAAAUUAAGGAACAAACCACAAUAGCCUGCCUUCCUCUCUAAUGAAUGAAUAAUCAUUCACUGAACAUCAAUUAUAUGCCCAGGGUGGUGAUAGGCAGUGUCAAAUACAGCAGCUACCACCAUCAUAUAAUAAGCGACUGCUCUAUGCCAUCUGGGAUGAUGGUAGGCAUUUCACAAACUUCACUUAAGACCCACAAUAACCCUUUAAUGGUUUUAGACUCAUUUUACAGAAGCUGCUGGUAUAAGACCCAAACUGUGUUUUACUUAUCUUAUGAAUCUAGACCAUCCUCUGCCUUCAGGUAAGAAUUUGCCUGAGCCUGGAAAGAGAAACCAUCCUCCAAGCAACACCGAGGUUGAGUUCACCUCCCCGUUGGUGAACUAUCAGCAAUGCCUCUGACAGUGAAGAGAAAGACAAAGAACCCACAUUGGGUGCCACAGGACAGCUCUCCUUUCUUCUUCCCCUAAGAAAACUCUAAAGAUUAAAACUGGUGGAAGGCUCUUCGCCUUGGAGCACACGAGAGGAAAAGAACCCCGCAGACCACAAGAGGAAACAUCUAUCCGGCACCCAGGGGACCUAAGGAGACUGAGGAAACCACGCCCCUACCCCAGUUGGAUCCGAAGCCGAAGGGAGGGGGGAAGCAGGGUUCACGCCCCCGCUGGCACACAGCCCAAUUGGCCAAUUGCCAUCACUGCAGACCUCCUCUGUUAUUUGAUUGGUUUUAGCUGUGAAGCCCCCUCCCGAAUGUCUCGCUCGGACUGGCCCAUUUCCCGGGACUAGACGGUGGCCAGAGGAGGACAAGAGACUUCUACACGCAAUGGCGGGACUGUUUGGGUGACAUCUGAAGCGCAGCCGCACGUCAACAAGCGUUCAGGCACCAGGGACAUGGCUGCGGUCUCGGUGGUGUCGGUGCUGCUGGUGGCGACGGAGUGGCAGCGUGUCCGGAUUCGGAUGCUGCUGCCGCCAAGGCAACGAUCCAAAAGGUAGUUCUGGCACUUGAAUACUACCUGGGAGUAACUUGUCAUGCCUUUAUUGUGUUGAACCAGUGUUCAAAAUGAAAUGCAAAAACUGCAGACUCAUGGACACAGCACAUCAUGUCGCUGGUACUCCAGGAACAACAUUUGAUAUGUUAAAUAGAAGAUACCUUUGUUGUGUUGCUUUCUGCCUUUAUGCCAAUCGAUAUGUUGAAGUCUUCAAAAAGUUCCUGAGAGACCCGUUUCAAAUUCUGAUAAAGAAGAACUGACCCUUGAAAGAGUCAAUAUCAUAUAAUAAUUUUGAAAAAGGAAUUGGCAGUGAGUCAAUUUGGGAGGAAAACUGUGGCCAUAAACAUUGAAGAAGACAGGACUUACAUGACACAGACUUUCGUACUACCGUGGAGGAAAUGCCACUGAAUGUGGCAGACUAAUUCCUGGGAUGAGAUGGUUUUGAAUGCCACGUUCGCUGUUGCUGAAAAGGUGUGUAAGUCAGUAACUGCCAACCUACAGUAUACCUUGCCUUGAUCCUUAUAGAACAUCCUUUGUUUACAUGACUUUCCUCAUUAUGAAACUGCUGCUGUGACAAAUAAGACAAAUGCUAGAAUCCUUGAAAGUAUCAGGUCAAUUCAAAGCCAUCACUGUCUUUGACCUUGGGGCGUUGGCUCCUGCGGUGGUAAAGGCGACUCUAUCCGCAAUGGCAAAAGCCCGCCGCGCGUGCCCAGACCAGCUUGCCGCCUACACCGCUUUCGUUGCCUAGCAAUCUGCUAUAGCAACAGAGGGCUUUCCACUUUCGCUUGCUGUCUGCUGGACUUCAGCUCCAGGUUGCCUAAACCAAGUCUCCCCAGAACCAACCUCAGAGCAAGGGAACACUGUUCAGAAGGAUAAAGAAGAGAAAAGUAAAGGAAUUCGGGGAAGCAGGUGGUGGACCCCACCCCAAGUCUGGGAGCUGUGCCUCACAACUACUACAAACAAACAAAACAAACAAACAAGAGAGUUCUUUAACCUUUUCUGGACAAAACUAGUUUAUCUACAGUCACCUCUCGUCUAUUCUCUCUCACCCCUGCAGACAACGCAUUUCUUUGUUGAGGCUACUUUUGUAAUCCUUAAAAUACAUGCCCAACCAAC